UACAGAGGUCUCAAGCGUUGUUCGGAUUCAUUGGGCGUAAAGGGUGCGUAGGCGGCGCGGUAAGUCGGGUGUGAAAUCUCGGAGCUUAACUCCGAAACUGCAUUCGAUACUGCCGUGCUUGAGGACUGGAGAGGAGACUGGAAUUUACGGUGUAGCGGUGAAAUGUGUAGAUAUCGUAAGGAAGACCAGUGGCGAAGGCGGGUCUCUGGACAGUUCCUGACGCUGAGGCACGAAGGCCAGGGGAGCAAACGGG
rnacentral:rRNA from 1 species